rnacentral:rRNA from 1 species
GUGGGGAAUUUUGGACAAUGGGCGCAAGCCUGAUCCAGCCAUGCCGCGUGAGUGAAGAAGGCCUUCGGGUUGUAAAGCUCUUUCGGCCGGGAAGAAAUCGCAUGGGUUAAUACCCUGUGUGGAUGACGGUACCGGAAUAAGAAGCACCGGCUAACUACGUGCCAGCAGCCGCGGUAAUACGUAGGGUGCGAGCGUUAAUCGGAAUUACUGGGCGUAAAGCGUGCGCAGGCGGUUUUGUAAGACAGGCGUGAAAUCCCCGGGCUUAACCUGGGAACUGCGCUUGUGACUGCAAGGCUAGAGUACGGCAGAGGGGGGUGGAAUUCCACGUGUAGCAGUGAAAUGCGUAGAGAUGUGGAGGAACACCAAUGGCGAAGGCAGCCCCCUGGGUCGAUACUGACGCUCAUGCACGAAAGCGUGGGUAGCAAACAGGAUUAGAAACCCCAGUAGUCC